UGAUCACUCAAAUCAGGUAAGAAUACCUGCUGAACUUAAGCAUAUCAAUAAGCGGAGGA
rnacentral:rRNA from 1 species